rnacentral:rRNA from 1 species
UACGGAGGGUGCAAGCGUUGUCCGGAUUUACUGGGUUUAAAGGGUGUGUAGGCGGGCUUUUAAGUCAGUGGUGAAAUCUCCGGGCUCAACCUGGAAACUGCCAUUGAUACUAUUAGUCUUGAAUUUUGUUGAGGUAGGCGGAAUAAGUCAUGUAGCGGUGAAAUGCAUAGAUAUGACUUAGAACACCAAUUGCGAAGGCAGCUUGCUAAACAAAUAUUGACGCUGAGGCACGAAAGCGUGGGGAUCAAACAGG